ACAUGCCUACAACAUAGUGUUAAUGCACCGGAUCCCAUUAGAACUUCGCAGUUAAGCCCGCUCGAGUUAGAGUAGUACUGGGAUGGGUGACCGAGUUAGAGUAGUACUGGGAUGGGUGACCACCUGAGAAGUCCUAGUAUUUUACAUGCC
rnacentral:rRNA from 1 species